UACGUAGGUGGCAAGCGUUGUCCGGAUUUACUGGGUGUAAAGGGCGUGUAGCCGGGCUGACAAGUCAGAUGUGAAAUCCGGGGGCUCAACCCCCGAACUGCAUUUGAAACUGUUGGUCUUGAGUAUCGGAGAGGCAGGCGGAAUUCCUAGUGUAGCGGUGAAAUGCGUAGAUAUUAGGAGGAACACCAGUGGCGAAGGCGGCCUGCUGGAUGACAACUGACGGUGAGGCGCGAAAGCGUGGGGAGCAAACAGG
rnacentral:rRNA from 1 species